rnacentral:rRNA from 1 species
GUAAGAUUUAUAGGGUAUGUAGUGAAUGCCUUGGCACUAGCAGGCGAUGAAGGACGUGGUAAGCUGCGAUAAGCUCCGGACAGCCGCAAGCAGGCAUUGACCCGGAGAUUUCCGAAUGGGAUAACCUGUAACGAUUCAUCUCGUUACGUGACGCUCUGAAUUCAUAGGAGCGUCGACGCAAUACCGCCCGAAGUGAAACAUCUCAGUAAGGCGAGGAAAAGAAAGCGAAUGCGAUUCCGUCAGUAGUGGCGAACGAAAGCGGAACAGCCUAAACCGGAAGUUUACUUCCGGGGUUCGGGGCCCGAUGUGGUAGUUGAAGAGUUAGGUGAAGCGAAUGGAAAAUCGCUCCAAAGAGGGUGAGAGGCCCGUAACCGAAAACUUAACAACGCCUAGGGAUUCCCAGAGUAAUACGAUCCACGUGGCAUUUCGUAUGAAUAUGUGCCGACCACGGCAUAAGGCUAAAUACUCGCUAGUGACCGACAGUGAACAAGUACCGCGAGGGAAAGGUGAAAAGAACCGCCGUGAGCGGAGUGAAAUAGUACCUGAAACCACAUACCUACAAGGUGUCAGAGCCGGCUUGUCCGGUGAUGGCGUGCCUUUUGCAAAAUGAGUCUGCGAGUCAGUCUGUGUGGCAAGCCUAAGUCCUUCUGGGACGGAGGCGGAGCGAAAGCGAGUCCGAACAGGGCGACAAGUCGCACGGGCUGAACCCGAAGCGGAGGCGAUCUACCCAUGGCCAGGUUGAAGCGUUGGUAAUACGACGUGGAGGACCGAACUGGUGAACCUUGAGACGUUCUCGGAUGAGCUGUGGGUAGGAGUGAAAGGCUAAUCAAGCCCCGUAAUAGCUGGUUCUCCCCGAAAUGUAUUUAGGUGCAGCGUCAUGCGCUGAUCGAGGGGGGUAGAGCACUGAAUGAGCUAGGGGGCACACCCGCCUACCAAACUCAAUCAAACUCCGAAUACCCUCGAAUGUAGCAUGGCAGUAAGACAGUGGGGGAUAAGCUUCAUUGUCGAAAGGGAAACAGCCCAGCCCUGCAGCUAAGGUGCCCAAAUGCCGCUAAGUGGAAAGGAGGUGAGAUUUCAUUGACAGUGAGGAUGUUGGCUUAGAAGCAGCCACCAUUUAAACAGUGCGUAAUAGCUGACUCAUCGAGAGAUCUCGCGCCGAAAAUGAUUGGCGAUAAGCGGCAUACCGAAGCUCUGGAUUGAACUAGUUACGAUUAGUUCAGUGGUAGGGGAGCGUUCUGUGAGCGUCGAAGCGUGAAGGCGACUGACCGUGGAGUUCACAGAAGUGAGGAUGCAGACAUAAGUAACGUUAAGGGCGGUGAAAUCCCGCCCCGCCGUAAACCCAAGGUUUCCUGGGCAACGAUAUUCGUCCCAGGGUUAGUCGGGAGCUAAGUCAAGGCCGUAUAGCCCUUUCCAUGGCCGCCCGUACCGCAAACCGACACAGGUGGGUGGGUAGAAUAUACCAAGGCGAAAGAGUGAAACCUCGUUAAGGAACUCUGCAAUCUAGUCCCGUAACUUCGGAAGAAGGGAUGCCCUCCUCGGAGGGUCGCAGUGAAAGGGGACAACCGACUGUUUAUCAAAAACACAGCAUUGUGCCAAGACGAAAGUCCAAGUAUACGAUGUGACACGUGACCAAUGCGGAAAGAUUAAGGCAAGGGGUUAGCCGCAAGGCGAAGCUCUGAACCCAAGUCCCCGUGAAUGUCGGCCGUAACUAUAACGGUCCUAAGGUAGCGAAAUUCCUUGUCGGGUAAGUUCCGACCUGCACGAAUCGUGUAACGAGUUGUCCGCUGUCUCAACGAGGGGCUCAGUGAAAUUGUAUUAGCAGUGAAGAUGCUGCUUACCCGCAGAAGGACGGAAAGACCCUAUGCACCUUAACUGUAAGCUGUCACUGGUCGUUUGGUUUCCAUGCUUAGCGUAAGUGGAAGACUUUGAAGCAUUGCUUUCGGGCAAUGCGGAGUCGUCAAUGAAACACCACCCUUGGGUAUUGAACGAUCUAACCGCAGUCCAUGAAUCUGGAUGUGGGACCAUGUCAGCCGGUCAGUUUUACUGGGGCGGUAUCCUCCCAAAGAGUAACGGAGGAGCGCGAAGGUUGGCUCAGCGUGGUUGGUAAUCACGUGUUGAGUGCAUUGGCAUAAGCCAGCCUAACUGUGAGACCUACAAGUCGAACAGAUGCGAAAGCAGGCCAAAGUGAUCCGGUGGUUUAAUGUGGAAUUGCCAUCGCUUAACGGACAAAAGGUACGCUAGGGAUAACAGGCUGAUUUCAUCCAAGAGUUCAUAUCGACGAUGAAGUUUGGCACCUCGAUGUCGGCUCGUCGCAUCCUGGGGCUGGAGAAGGUCCCAAGGGUCCGGCUGUUCGCCGGUUAAAGCGGCACGCGAGCUGGGUUCAGAACGUCGCGAGACAGUUCGGUCCUCUAUCCUCUGUGGGCGCAGGAAAGUUGAGGGGUUCAAUUCCUAGUACGAGAGGACCGGAAUUGACGCACCUCUGGUGUUCCAGUUGUUCUGUCAAGAGCAUCGCUGGGCAGCUAUGUGCGGAAGGGAUAAGCGCUGAAAGCAUCUAAGUGCCAAGCCCAUCCCAAGAUUAGCUUUCCCUGAAGGAUCGUGGAAGACUACCACGUUGAUAGGCCACGGGUGCAAGCGCAGUAAUGCGUUCAGCUUAGUGGUACUAAUCAUCCGUUUGUCUUACAUUGUUCCAUUU